UGGCUGGGGAGGUCUCAGGAAACUUGCAGUUAUGGUGGAAGAGGAAGAAGGCACACCUUCACAUGGCCAGAGCAAGAGGAAGAGAGAGCAGGAUGGACAGGUGAACAGCAGCUCCCCUGCUUCCCUCCUGGCCAGGGCUGGUGCACACGGCUCAAGGAUGUCCCAGAGCAGGCUGGCCAGCAUCCACCACCACAUAUCCAUGGAGUCUUCCCCUCACAGGGCCAAGGGAUCUGCCUCUGUCAGAGAGCAAUCAAGUUUCUCCCCCAGUUGGAGGAACUCAUUUGCAUAAGAAUGAGAGGUUCUUCCUCAGGCAUCUUUUUCUAUUCUCCACCCUGUCAGCAGCUAACACAGCUGUGCAUUUAAGCUGUCUUUUCCUUUUCUCCACUGGGUUAGCAGUGAGGCUUUUUAAAAAUAUAUAUAAAGAGAUUUUACUAGGCCAGGAAUAAGUUUCACUGUUUAUAUUCUCUUAAGCUGUAGCCAAUCUGGUGUGCUUUGCAUGUCUUUCUGUCUGGUCAGUAGCAAAAUUUGCUGCAGGCCUCCAUCUUGUUUUACAUCCUUGGAAGUGUGGCCUGUAACCAUGUGGCAAUGCUUUAUUUAGCCUCCGCCAUUUUAAAAUGGUGGUGCAGGCUCAAUUCUGACUUAGGGAAUAGGUCCUUUAUGGUUUGAUAUCUGUGUGACCUUUGCCAUUUGUUGAUUCUCUUGUCUUCCACGGACUGCCUUUGUUUUUCCUUUCUCUAAGCCUUUAGUAAAGCUUGAAAGCCAGAAAUAUUGGCUGCUUGGCCUGGCUAAAGUAAGAUAAUAAGGGAUUUCAAAGGAUUUUCUUAAAGAGCACUCAGCUUAAUUAAAAGUGGAUAUCCCAGUUAUAGGUAUAUUUAAAAGGCCUUUAUGUUUUUCUCUUCCUGAAUCUCGUUUUGCUGGGAAAGGUUUUUUUCCUCAGUCAACUGAAUUAUUUUUCUUCAUUUUGCCUUGCCACCCUUCAUGCAUGCAUGAGAGGGGGGAAACCUCUAUUUUCCUCAUGGAACCCCAGGAAUUAAAAGCAGAUGGAUCCCUCUCAAAAUCUGUUUUUGCCUCCAAGUUAUGCCUGUUCAUUAGGCCUUAGAAGCUGCGUGUUUUCCUAGCCCUGUCUCUUAAAGGGCUCCACCCAGAGGCCAAUCAUCCAGUUAGGAGAUUGGCAAACAAAAACAUCUUAUGGAUACUGAGUCUUCUUCUGCCUGUCUAUGAAGUUAUAUAUGUGUUGUGUGUGUGAUGUCUAUAAAAAAGAGCUCUAAUAAAUUGACUUAAAG
rnacentral:lncRNA from 1 species